AACACCAAACAGGAACUGAGAUCUGUAAUGUUCCAAACUAACCCCCCUGUGAGGAGGAGUCAAUGUAAAACUCUGAUGUCUUCCACCUCUACUUAUCUGACUGCAGAGAGGAUGACAGAGAACAGUGGACACACAGUUUAACAUGAUGGACUAUAGGACAGGACUGCUGCUUCUAACUCUCUGCUGGGCAGGUGUUGAUGGUCAGACUGAAUCUGAACCAGUGGUUAAAAGGCCUGGAGAAUCCCACAGACUGACCUGUACAACAUCUGGAUUCACAUUCAGUGACUACAGCAUGCACUGGGCCAGACAGGCCCCUGGAAAAGGACUGGAGUGGAUUGCUUCCAUUAGUAACAGUGGUGGCAGCUACGAAUACUACUCUCAGUCAGUCAAAGGCCGGUUUACCAUCUCCAGAGACAACAGCAGACAGCAGGUGUAUCUGCAGAUGAACAGUCUGAAGACUGAAGAUUCUGCUGUUUAUUAUUGUGCUCAAUAGCCACACAGUGACUGGAGUUAGUUGAGUGGAUGUACAAAAUCCUACAGUACUGAUCCUUACUGCACUAAUAAAACAUUUCAUUAUAUAUUUUGUGGUUAUUGUUUUCAAUACAAUCAUGAAAAUUGUCACAUAGAAACUUCAG